AGUUUUGCUCUGUCGCCCAGGCUGGAGUGCAGUGGCGUGAUCUCGGCUCACUGAGACCUCCACCUCCCGGGUUCAAGCAAUUCUCCCGCCUCAGCCUCCCGAGUAGCUGGGAUUGCAGGUAUUUACCCAGGAAAAAUUAGUUUAUGUUUAUACGAAGAUUCGUACACAGAUAUUCACAGAAGCCUUAUUUACAGUCGUCAAAAUGGAAAACAAACCAAAUAUCUCUCAAUGGGUGAAUGGAAAAACAAAUUGUGGUAUAUCCACACAGCGGAAUCCUCCUCUAAUAAAAAGGAAUGAACUGUUGAUUCAAGCAACUACACAGGUGAAUCUCAAAAUAAUUAUGCUGAGUGAAUUAAGACAGAUAAAAAAGAACACAUACUAUAUGAUUUCACCUGUAUAAAAUUUUAAAAAAUGCAAACAACUCAUAGUGACAGAAAGACGAUCAGUUAUUUUGAGGGGCCAUGGUGAGGAGGCCUUGACGGGCAGGAAGGAUUCCGGGAUAUUCUGGAAUUUUUAUUCUGGAUAUAAAGGUACUUCAGGAAAAUUUUGAAAGUCUGGAUAUGUUCAUUAUCUUGAUGGGGUUGAUGGCUUCACUGGUGUAUACAUACGUCAAAAUGUAUCAAAAUUACACAUUAUGUGCAGUUUAUUGUCAAUGAUAUCUCAAUAAAGUUGUUAACAUUUUUUCA
rnacentral:lncRNA from 1 species